rnacentral:tRNA from 1 species
GGUGGCUCAGUGGUUGAGCACUUGCCUUGCAUACAUGAGGUCUUGGGUUUGAUUCCCCAGCACCA